AAAAAUGGGAAGUGAGUCAGAUCUGCAACAGCACAUUCUGCUUUAUAUUUAGUGUGAAGUAGUUUCUUCGCGGUCACAUUCAGCCACACUGAUCUGUCUGUAAGGCUGUUUAAUACUAAUGGCUCAUUAGCAAACCACUGAGGCCACAUCAGAACUCUCUCCUGUCGGAUCCAGCCAAGCUCUCCAAAACCUUGUUGGUAACCCUCACCCUCCUGUCUGUGUCAGGUGUUCUGAGCCAGAGGGGAUGGGGAGUGACUUACACUCCUGAGAGAAUCUGUGCCUUAAAGGGGUCUUCAGUAGACAUGAGCUGCACUUACUCACAUCCCCCAUAUCACAAAGUGCAGAGUACAUUCUGGUUUAUUUAUGACUGGGGCAGGGUAUUGGACCUGUCCAAGGACUCAGAGUACUCUGACCGUGUGGAGUACCUGGGGAAUAAGAACAAUGACUGCACUUUUAGAAUAAACAGCUGAGAAAAACUGAUUCAAAAACAUACCGAUUCAGGGUCCUGACCGACCGUGGUAA